rnacentral:tRNA from 1 species
GGAAGCGUUUGCUGGUCUGGUGACCGCCUCGGUCUUCAAAACCGAUGAAGCGUCCGAAACGAUGCUUGGUGGGUUCGAUUCCCAUCCGCUUCCG